CUCCUUUUGUCAGGAAAUAGAUUAAAAUUAGAACAAGAAAGAGAAGGUUUGCAUGGCCCCUAUAUGAAAAUGACACACAAAGUUGUGAAGAAUUCCAUAUUCUA
ensembl:snRNA U6 U6 spliceosomal RNA